rnacentral:snoRNA from 1 species
AAGCAGAUAUCCAGAAAAUUAAAAAUUCCAUUGAAUGUGCUAGACAACCUUUGAAGGUAAAUUAGCAGCAUGAUUAAUUUAGCCAUUGCUGUCAGUCACCUUCAGACAAGA